rnacentral:rRNA from 1 species
CCAACCAAAAAACCCACGGCUUAUUACGUCUCAGCAGCCGUCGAUAAUACGUAGGUGACAAGCGUUAUCCGGAUUUAUUGGGCGUAAAGCGAGCGCAGGCGGUUUUUUUAAGUCUGAUGUGAAAGCCCUCGGCUUAACCGAGGAAGCGCAUCGGAAACUGGGAAACUUGAGUGCAGAAGAGGACAGUGGAACUCCAUGUGUAGCGGUGAAAUGCGUAGAUAUAUGGAAGAACACCAGUGGCGAAGGCGGCUGUCUGGUCUGUAACUGACGCUGAGGCUCGAAAGCAUGGGUAGCGAACAGGAUUAGAUACCCUGGUAGUCCAUGCCGUAAACGAUGAAUGCUAGGUGUUGGAGGGUUUCCGCCCUUCAGUGCCGCAGCUAACGCAUUAAGCAUUCCGCCUGGGGAGUACGACCGCAAGGUUGAAACUCAAAGGAAUUGACGGGGGCCCGCACAAGCGGUGGAGCAUGUGGUUUAAUUCGAAGCAACGCGAAGAACCUUACCAGGUCUUGACAUCUUUUGAUCACCUGAGAGAUCAGGUUUCCCCUUCGGGGGCAAAAUGACAGGUGGUGCAUGGUUGUCGUCAGCUCGUGUCGUGAGAUGUUGGGUUAAGUCCCGCAACGAGCGCAACCCUUAUGACUAGUUGCCAGCAUUUAGUUGGGCACUCUAGUAAGACUGCCGGUGACAAACCGGAGGAAGGUGGGGAUGACGUCAAAUCAUCAUGCCCCUUAUGACCUGGGCUACACACGUGCUACAAUGGAUGGUACAACGAGUUGCGAGACCGCGAGGUCAAGCUAAUCUCUUAAAGCCAUUCUCAGUUCGGACUGUAGGCUGCAACUCGCCUACACGAAGUCGGAAUCGCUAGUAAUCGCGGAUCAGCACGCCGCGGUGAAUACGUUCCCGGGCCUUGUACACACCGCCCGUCACACCAUGAGAGUUUGUAACACCCGAAGCCGGUGGCGUAACCCUUUAGGAGCGAGCCGUCUAAGGUGACACGAUGCCA